UCUAAGCUGAAGACAGACCUGACCAUUGUGCUGAAUGCUCUGGGCAGCAACACCAGUCUGACCAGGGUGGAUAUCAGUGGGAACGCCAUGGGAGACAUGGGGGCUAAGAUGCUGGCCAAGGCCCUGCAGAUCAACAGCAAACUAAGGACGGUGAUCUGGGAUAAGAACAACAUCAGUCCUCAAGGUCUUCAGGAUGUAGCUGCUGCUCUGGAGAAAAACUUCACCAUCCGGUUCAUGCCUAUCCCCAUCAUCGAUGCGUCUCAGGCUCUCAAAGCCAGCCCUGAGAAGACUGAGGACGCCCUGCUCAAG